rnacentral:rRNA from 1 species
CUCUACAGCCAUACCACCUUGAAUGUUCCUAAUCUCAUCUGAUCUGGAAAGCUAAGCAGGGUCAGGCCUCGUUAGUACUUGGAUAAGAGAAACACACAAAAAUUCAAGAUAAUACAGU